AUGGGUUCAAGUCCUGGAAACAGCCUCUUACAGAAAUGUAGGGAAAGGCUGCGUACUAUAGACCCAAAGUGGUCGGACCCUUCCCUGGACCCUGCGCAAGCGGGAGCUACAUGCACCAGGCAAUGGCGGCAUGGGUGGAAUGAGAGGAAGGAUGGGAAUCAGCUACUUGCAUUCGCACAGAGGAGGCAACGUCGACGCGAUGGUACAGCAGAGGAGGUUGGGCUCGUUGUGGAGCUUCUUGAGGCAGCAGGACGUCGGCGAGAGCAUCGCUGCCGGCAACGGCUCAACCGCUCGAGUGACCUCUUGAGGAUCUUCUCCAUGAGCACCUGGGACGACACCAACUCCAACAUCAUGUUCUCAGCGCCCGGCAGUAAGAAGGCCGAGGUGCUCGGCGACAACGAUGUCGGCAUGGUCACCAGCUUCAGCAACAUCGGCUCCCAGAUUCAGUUAGCCCUCUCGAGCUGUACAUGCCCAGCAUGGACGACUACCUGCAGCUGCAGCAGGACUCCGCCGACUGCCGAGUCCACGCCAAGCGUGGCUGUACCACUGACCCGCAGAGCAUUGCUUGGGAGGGAAACAAGAACAAGGAUCAAUAAGAGGCUAAGGAGGCUGCAAGACCUCAUUCCCUACAUGGACAAGGUCACAAGGUGA
rnacentral:rRNA from 1 species